GACUGCUAGUCGCGUGCUUCAGCCAAAACGAGGCACGGCAAACAGCUCAGUAACACGUGGCUAAUCUGCCCUUAGGACGCGAACAACCCCGGGAAACUGGGGCUAAUUCUCGAUAGGUGAAGAACUCUGGAAUGAGUCUUUGCCUAAAAGAGCUUACGUUAUGCUCGUAAGUUUCGCCUAAGGAUGAGGCCGCGACCGAUCAGGUUGUUGGUGAGGUAAUGGCUCACCAAGCCUUUUACCGGUGCGGGCCGUGGGAGCGGGAGCCCGGAGAUGGGCACUGAGACAAGGGCCCAGGCCCUACGGGGCGCAGCAGUCGCGAAAACUUUGCAAUAAGCGAAAGCUUGACAGGGCUAUCCCGAGUGCCAUCCGCUGAGGAAGGCUUUUACCCAGUCUAGUAAGCUGGGGGAAUAAGGAGAGGGCAAGUCUGGUGUCAGCCGCCGCGGUAAUACCAGCUCUCCGAGUGGUGUGGAUGUUUAUUGGGCCUAAAGCAUCCGUAGCUGGCUGAGUUAGUCCCCUGUUAAAUCCACCGAAUCAAUCGUUGGAUUGCGGGGGAUACUGCUCGGCUAGGGGACGGGAGAGGCAGACGGUAUUUUUGGGGUAGGGGUGAAAUCCUAUAAUCCCAGGAAGACCACCAGUGGCGAAGGCUGUCUGCUAGAACGCGCCCGACGGUGAGGGAUGAAAGCUGGGGGAGCGAACCGGAUUAGAUACCCGGGUAGUCCCAGCUGUAAACGAUGCAGACUAGGUGUUUGGACGGCCACGUGCCGUUCUAGUGCCGCAGGAAGCUGUUAAGUCUGCCGCCUGGGGAGUACGAUCGCAAGAUUGAAACUUAA
rnacentral:rRNA from 1 species